ACUAUCAAACAUGAUGUAUAACUAUUUUUUUUCCUUUUUUUUUUCUUUUUCAAUUAAAUUUACUAAAUAAAUUUUUAUGAAAAGGUCUGAAUGUUCAUACCGCCUUACUUUUUCUUCUCUCUCCUUUUUAGAUUGAUUUUUCACCCUUUGAUAAUGGAUAUUAUAAGUAUUAAACUUUUUCCCAAAAUAGUUAAAGGCCUUUCACCAAAAAAAUUUAGUCUAAUCUAAAGACUUUUUUUUAAUAGUUUAACAUUCUUCAUCAUAACGCAAACUUUUUACCAAACAAAUUGUCUAUUACUACAAAUUUGACUAGCUAGUUCCCCAAAACAGAAUUCAUGGUUUUAACUUUUACCCCAUUAUUUGCAAAAAGUUAAUCUGAAGCUGUGAAAAAUCAGGCUCCCUGAUCUUCUGUGCCAUAAGAUCAACAAGAAUUAGGCAUAGAGGCAAAUUUUCAAAGUUCUUCUACAUUAUAAUUUGUACAUGUAAUUAAUUAACUUUAUUUGUUUUUAGAACAAGAAGACUUUCUCUUUUGAAUUAUUGCAUCAAAAAACAGUAGCCGCAUUAAUAUUACUUUAUUCUUUUGCUGAGCUUGCAGCCUUUACUAAAAAAUGCCAACAAAUAAACUUACAAACUCAAAGUCAAGGUGAUGCAAAGAUGUAUUCAACAGUUCAUUUUUAUUAUUUUAGUACUUUCACGCAAGGGUUGUUACCAAUUGUUAUACUAUUCAAAUCAGAAUAAUUAAUUUUACCACAAUGAUGUAUGUUAAGUCUAGCUAGGUAAAUUCGGGUGUAUUCAGUAGUGUGGUCAGUGUUAUUUCCUCACCUAUUUCACACCAUUAGCUAUAGAGUACAAGUGGACACUGGACAUAUUGGUGGUGCAGAGAUAAUAGACAACAUAUAUAUAUAUAUUGUAAUACCUUAUCACCUCUUAUUCAUAUGAUGGUCAUAACAGAACAUAACAUAUAUUAUAUAGAGAUAGAGAGAGAGUUAUACCUUCUUCUUCAAAUCAACUAUGAUUAUCUGCUUCAAGACAAAAAUGAUAAGCAAUUCGUGUUGAUAAUGUGUUAUGAAAGAUAACUGAAAACAAGAUAAUUAGAUAAAAAAAGAGUAUUUGCAUAAUCUUUUGUAUAUAUCUCAACCACUUUAUAAUUGUCUUAUUUAUAGAAAUAAGAACAUCAAUACUACUAGGAAGUUACCAGAGCCGGUUCUGAGUUUUUUAAGGGCCCGGGAUAAAUUUUCUCAAGUGUGCCCCUUUACAUUUACAUUUCCAUUUCUACUAAUUCUUCCAAUUGAAUUGGUUGUUCAUAUUCAUUUGGUAAAUCUUCAUCUAAAUUUUCAAGUGAAGCAUUGGUUUAUUUAACAAAAUAUUUAUUCAAAGAUCCUCUUAAACUUUGAGCAAUUUCUUCUUCUUUUUUCUUUCUUUGUUUCUUGAGAUUUCCGGAAAGUUGUUUCUUAUGAAGUAUUUUUUAAUUUUUAUAAUAAACACAACACAAUAAAUAACAAACUAAUUAGCAAAGAACAAUAAAACCUGGAUUUUGAGUAUAUUUUCUUCCACUUGAAACUUCUAAUUAUAAAGAACAAGAAUCCCAGCCAAGUUUUCUCUUGAAUCAAAUAAUAAAUAAGAAAAAGUUAACACAAAUAUGUUAUAUGCAUUACAAUUUACAAAAUAGGAGAGAAUAAACAAAAAUAAAAGGGUUUCCAGAUUCCAGAGAGCUCAGUAACCAAAAGGGUUUCCCUCAAAAAAUUAAUUACAAGGAUGGCUUUACCUUUAUUAAAUAAAUAAUAUAUUUAUAUAAACAAAACAAUCAUACAAUAGUCAACAACUGCUAAUUACAGUCCAGAUUCCAGAAUUAGACAAAAUAUUAGAUGUGCAGGCAAGUAGACAGCGCAGUUUUCUGAUCAAAGAAGCCAAACCAUUACGCUAGAAAGUGCAAAGAUUACAAAAUGACAAGUAGGGAAACAACAAAUCAUUUACAAAAUCGUGACACUGGCCAAAUCUUCUAACAUGGUGAUAUGGUAUUCAGCUUUCUGAUCGAAAAAGCCAAUCAAUUAUAUCAGAAAGUGCAAAGAUUCCAAAAAAACAAGUAGGGAGUCAACAAAUUGAUUGCAAAAUAGUGAGACUGGACAAAUCUCCUUAUAUUAGUCGUUUUAAAAAUCCCAAAAAAGAUCGUUAUUGACCAUAAACCCCCAGUGCUCAACAAACACCAAGCCCAACAAUCUCUCAAAUAGAACAAAAGAAAAUUCAUAUCACCAACAUUAACCCCAUCAAAUAGAACCAAAAAAAAUUCAUUUCCCCAACAUUAACAAAGUCAAUUUACAGAUACAAUAUAACCAUUUCAGUCUGGAACUUGACAGAAUACAGAGUAACAGAGAUUUUCAUUUUUUAUAGGCCGAAGAGCCAAGAACAAACUAAUUAACAUAUGGAAGAAAAACCAUCAGCCAGUCAAAGAAAUAGAAUCCCCCUUGCCCCUUCAAUCACAAAGGAAUGCAUACAUAUUCUAUAGACAUCAAUCAAAGAGAUCUAACAAGUAACAAAUAACAACGGAUAAAUUCAUAGAGAACAAAAGCGAAAAGAAGAUAUUGCCUUGAGAAGAUUAUAUUUUCUUCUUUUUGUAUUUUGCUUUUUGGAAGUGCUUUAUUUUUGUUUGUCGUUUGAUCGCUCUUGGCUUGCAGAAACAAAAGUGAGGACUGCAUAGUUCAUUAGUUCAACGAAGCAACAAAUUAAAA
rnacentral:lncRNA from 1 species